UACGUAGGGGGCAAGCGUUGUCCGGAAUUAUUGGGCGUAAAGAGCUCGUAGGCGGUGUGUCGCGUCGGCCGUGAAAACCUGCAGCUUAACUGUGGGCUUGCGGUCGAUACGGGCAUCACUGGAGUUCGGCAGGGGAGACUGGAAUUCCUGGUGUAGCGGUGAAAUGCGCAGAUAUCAGGAGGAACACCGGUGGCGAAGGCGGACUCUGGCGGCAUACUGACGCUGAGGAGCGAAAGCGUGGGGAGCGAACAGG
rnacentral:rRNA from 1 species